rnacentral:rRNA from 1 species
GGCCAAGCAAAAAAGAGCACAGGGCGGAUGCCUUGGCACCAAGAGCCGAUGAAAGACGUGAUAAGCUGCGAUAAG